rnacentral:rRNA from 1 species
CAGUAGCCGCGGUAAUACAGAGGAUGCAAGCGUUAUCCGGAAUGAUUGGGCGUAAAGCGUCUGUAGGUGGCUUUUCAAGUCCGCCGUCAAAUCCCAGGGCUCAACCCUGGACAGGCGGUGGAGACUACCAAGCUGGAGUACGGUAGGGGCAGAGGGAAUUUCCGGUGGAGCGGUGGAAUGCGUUGAGAUCGGAAAGAACACCAACGGCGAAAGCACUCUGCUGGGCCGACACUGACACUGAGAGACGGAAGCUAGGGGAGCAAAUGGGAUUAGAGACCCCUGUAGUCCCUGUCUCUUAUAC